UGACCUUUUACUUUGACAAAGUCUGCAAUCUGCAAUCUUUUCGCAUACACGGAAUUCCCACCGUUUGCCGCAGUCCACAUAGAGCACAAGUUUUGCCGCUUGGAUGAUUUACGACCUGGAAAUCUCAUACACUGAACUCGUGGAGAGCCAAGGGAAUGUUGAAUUCGCUUAGAUGAAUGUAACUGCGAGUCUUCGUGUACUCUUGAUAAAGCAAACUUUAUUUCAGAGAUUAAUAUAGCAAUUUCCAUCGUUUGUAUUCGUUGGGAUAAU
rnacentral:lncRNA from 1 species